GACACAAGGACAUGUUAAUUACUUCAAAUCUUUGGUGUGAAGCAGACUUCAGGGAGCUGGACCCACUUGCGAAAUCCAAGUGCAGGGAUAGUUCCUACACGAAAGGUGAGGACCAGCGUGUGGCCACCGAGGUGUUGGUGCUGAAAGUCAGAGGAGCACCGGGGAGGAGCGCCCACAGCAGAGGCGGUGAUAGAAGAGGAGUACUACCUGGAUUCCAGCCUGGAAUCUACCUCCUACCAGCUGUGAAAAGAACACCUGAUCUUAAACAGCUGUAAGACCUCACUCAAUUCUCUCCACUUACGAGUCCUGGUUUCCCACCUGUGAACUUGAGGAGUUGAAUUCAGAACUCUCUGAAGCGCCUGUGUGAACCUGAGAAUGGGUCUGCUUGAUUUUGUGCCCACGGCGCCUCAUCCUAGUCCCAGUCCCGAGAUCUAAAAUGCUCUGAGGGAACCUGUCUGCGCUACGUUGGAGCAGGACCCUAACUCCUCUGGGGCAGCAGUGCCCCCAGCCUCGCCAGCAGCGCUGCGGCAUAUGAAGAUGAGCAGAGGCGCCGGGAAGAGAGCCUGGGCAGUGCCCUUGGGGGGCUGGAGGGGCAGUGCCUUCUGUGCUCCCUCCUCCACCAUGCUGCCUGAAAUGCCACGGCGGGGACUCUGCAGCCAACUGGACCCUUUGUGCCAGGGGGGCCUCGAGCUGGAGAAGCCUGAGAACCCCUGACUGUGGAACUGCCACCCCUGCCCUGCACUGCCUACCUCUGGGCUUCCUGUGUGACACUGGAUGACAAAGAGGCUGCUCUGGCAGCAGAGAAGCCAGAAUCUGCGUGUGCUGUGCCACCAGUCAGCGUAAGGCCUGGCACCAGUCCCUUAAGCUCCUCCUGUGCUGUCUACAGGUGGGGGGGCUAGAGGCACUCGGUGGCCCCCUUUCUGUCUCAGUGUAUUCAGUGGCUCUGAGUUACCAUCCUAGGUGGCCCUGAACACCAGUUUCUCCACAGUGUGAGACAGGACAAGGAUCUCAAGGUCUGGGUGGUUCUUACUAAAUGCUAUUCUUGCUAAAUGUCAAAAUGAAGCACAGUAUUUUGCAAAGGCAGCUGUACCUGGAUUAGUUUGACCCUGACCCUGGAGCCCAACUGAUGCAAAGGAGAGAUCAGUAUGUAAUCAACCAAACAGUGUAUAUAAGCAGUGGCUAACCAUUUGAAGAGACAUAGCUUGGAUGUAAACUGUCUCCUUGACUCGCUCUAAGUAAACAAACAGCCUAAGGACAACCACGUCACAUUGGUGAAUAGAGCACCCCAAGCAGUGAACCCCUUGAGUUCUGUAACAGUAGGUUUAAUAUAUUCACACCCAAGACAUUUCUCUAGCUAAGAUAUCCCAAGUUAAAGGUUGCCUGUCCUAAUUGAAGAAAGCUUUUGCACAAAUAUCAGUGGCCUACACCAGAUGACCAAUAUUGAUACCCAGACCCAGAUAAUGAACAGUGUUUACAAGAAUGUAAUGUACUCCAUUCAUUUUACAAAUGUUAACAGGUAAU